CAGAAAAAUCAGCAAGCUGAAAAUUCUGCAUGUAGUAAAUUUCAGCAAGCAUAAUCCUUUAAAUUUUAGAUCUAAAAUGCCUUUAAAAAUUUAAUUCUAAUCUUAAUCUACAUAACCAUGGCUCUGAUACCACUAUUAGUUACCCUCAUAUGCUGCAGAAAAUUUCAAAAUUUUUCAGAUUGCAGCGGAAAAGCAUAUGCGGGAUCCGUUCAUCGCAUGAACGUAUUUUAAAACCGUCGUUUGUAGAUAGAUUAGGAUUAAAUUCUUAUAAACCAUUUUAAAAACAUUAAGAAGAUCAGAUCUUCACCUUGUGCGGAUAGAUAGUCUCCGCAAAUCUGAUUUACGUGGAUUUGUUGAAGGUUCGAUGGAAGCCGCACACGCGUCCGGCCUCUACGGGUAUCCACACGAGGCAAAGCACCGAUCGAAGCUUUUAGAUCUCCCCGGGGUGCUAGCUCCCUUGCAGAGAUGACUAUUGAUGGCUGAUAUCCUUCCUAUCAAUCAACUCUUGAGUGCCUAAGGGAGGAGGAAGAAGGAUGGUUCAAAGGAACGAGAACAAAAACCCGCAGCCUUUUCUUUUUCCUUCGCGUUUGAACCAAGGAAGGGGAUGAAGUAGACCACGCCAAGAGCUUCUUUUCCCUUGCUUCCUUGUGGCUGAAAGGAGGAAUGGAAGGAGGUUCCUUGCUGCCAAAAAUCCCAAGGAAAAACCAUUAAAAAUUCGGAGCCCCUUUGAACUCCCCUUUUAUGGUGUGUGGAUAGAG
rnacentral:lncRNA from 1 species